rnacentral:rRNA from 1 species
UACCACCCUUUGUUUAUUACACUUUGUGUGCUUUGGCAAGCCUGCCCUCGGGCUGCUGGCUCCGGCCGGCGAGCGCUUGCCAGAGGACCUAAACUCUGUUUGUCUAUACUGUCUGAGUACUAUAUAAUAGUUAAAACUUUCAACAACGGAUCUCUUGGUUCUGGGAUCGAUGAAGAACGCAGCGAAAUGCGAUAAGUAAUGUGAAUUGCAGAAUUCAGUGAAUCAUCGAAUCUUUGAACGCACAUUGCGCCCCCUGGUAUUCCGGGGGGCAUGCCUGUCCGAGCGUCAUUACAACCCUCAAGCUCAGCUUGGUGUUGGGCCCCGCCGCCCCGGCGGGCCCUAAAGUCAGUGGCGGUGCCGUCCGGCUCCGAGCGUAGUAAUUCUUCUCGCUCUGGAGGUCCGGUCGUGUGCUCGCCAGCAACCCCCAAUUUUUUUCAGGUUGACCUCGGAUCAGGUAGGGAUACCCGCUGAACUUAAGCAUAUCAAUAA